rnacentral:rRNA from 1 species
UAGGGAAUAUUGGACAAUGGGUGGAAGCCUGAUCCAGCCAUGCCGCGUGCAGGAAGAAGGCUUUCUGAGUUGUAAACUGCUUUUGCCAGGGGAUAAAAUGCCCAUGCGUGGGAACUUGAAGGUACCUGGUGAAUAAGCCACGGCUAACUACGUGCCAGCAGCCGCGGUAAUACGUAGGUGGCAAGCGUUGUCCGGAUUUAUUGGGUUUAAAGGGUGCGUAGGCGGUGCUUUAAGUCAGUGGUAAAAUACGUCAGCUUAACUAGCGAGGUGCCAUUGAUACUGGAGCACUUGAGUACUGAUGAGGUAGGCGGAAUGGACGGUGUAGCGGUGAAAUGCUUAGAUAUCGUCCAGAACACCGAUAGCGAAGGCAGCUUACUAAGGAGUAACUGACGCUGAGGCACGAAAGUGUGGGGAUCAAAC